rnacentral:rRNA from 1 species
GGGACACGUGGUAUCCUGUCUGAAUAUGGGGGGACCAUCCUCCAAGGCUAAAUACUCCUGACUGACCGAUAGUGAACCAGUACCGUGAGGGAAAGGCGAAAAGAACCCCGGCGAGGGGAGUGAAAAAGAACCUGAAACCGUGUACGUACAAGCAGUGGGAGCACGCUUAGGCGUGUGACUGCGUACCUUUUGUAUAAUGGGUCAGCGACUUAUAUUCUGUAGCAAGGUUAACCGAAUAGGGGAGCCGAAGGGAAACCGAGUCUUAACUGGGCGUUAAGUUGCAGGGUAUAGACCCGAAACCCGGUGAUCUAGCCAUGGGCAGGUUGAAGGUUGGGUAACACUAACUGGAGGACCGAACCGACUAAUGUUGAAAAAUUAGCGGAUGACUUGUGGCUGGGGGUGAAAGGCCAAUCAAACCGGGAGAUAGCUGGUUCUCCCCGAAAGCUAUUUAGGUAGCGCCUCGUGAAUUCAUCUCCGGGGGUAGAGCACUGUUUCGGCAAGGGGGUCAUCCCGACUUACCAACCCGAUGCAAACUGCGAAUACCGGAGAAUGUUAUCACGGGAGACACACGGCGGGUGCUAACGUCCGUCGUGAAGAGGGAAACAACCCAGACCGCCAGCUAAGGUCCCAAAGUCAUGGUUAAGUGGGAAACGAUGUGGGAAGGCCCAGACAGCCAGGAUGUUGGCUUAGAAGCAGCCAUCAUUUAAAGAAAGCGUAAUAGCUCACUGGUCGAGUCGGCCUGCGCGGAAGAUGUAACGGGGCUAAACCAUGCACCGAAGCUGCGGCAGCGACGCUUAUGCGUUGUUGGGUAGGGGAGCGUUCUGUAAGCCUGUGAAGGUGUGCUGUGAGGCAUGCUGGAGGUAUCAGAAGUGCGAAUGCUGACAUAAGUAACGAUAAAGCGGGUGAAAAGCCCGCUCGCCGGAAGACCAAGGGUUCCUGUCCAACGUUAAUCGGGGCAGGGUGAGUCGACCCCUAAGGCGAGGCCGAAAGGCGUAGUCGAUGGGAAACAGGUUAAUAUUCCUGUACUUGGUGUUACUGCGAAGGGGGGACGGAGAAGGCUAUGUUGGCCGGGCGACGGUUGUCCCGGUUUAAGCGUGUAGGCUGGUUUUCCAGGCAAAUCCGGAAAAUCAAGGCUGAGGCGUGAUGACGAGGCACUACGGUGCUGAAGCAACAAAUGCCCUGCUUCCAGGAAAAGCCUCUAAGCAUCAGGUAACAUCAAAUCGUACCCCAAACCGACACAGGUGGUCAGGUAGAGAAUACCAAGGCGCUUGAGAGAACUCGGGUGAAGGAACUAGGCAAAAUGGUGCCGUAACUUCGGGAGAAGGCACGCUGAUAUGUAGGUGAAGCGACUUGCUCGUGGAGCUGAAAUCAGUCGAAGAUACCAGCUGGCUGCAACUGUUUAUUAAAAACACAGCACUGUGCAAACACGAAAGUGGACGUAUACGGUGUGACGCCUGCCCGGUGCCGGAAGGUUAAUUGAUGGGGUCAGCGCAAGCGAAGCUCUUGAUCGAAGCCCCGGUAAACGGCGGCCGUAACUAUAACGGUCCUAAGGUAGCGAAAUUCCUUGUCGGGUAAGUUCCGACCUGCACGAAUGGCGUAAUGAUGGCCAGGCUGUCUCCACCCGAGACUCAGUGAAAUUGAACUCGCUGUGAAGAUGCAGUGUACCCGCGGCAAGACGGAAAGACCCCGUGAACCUUUACUAUAGCUUGACACUGAACAUUGAGCCUUGAUG